AACUACACUAUCGAUGAAUAGAUUCACCCGCAAGAUGAUGUGGCUGUUACACAUAGGACGAGGACAUGUCAUCCCAUUACUAGUUAUCGCACGAAAUUAAUAUGAUGCCACAUCCUCAUUUUAGAUGGAACAACCACGUCAUCUUAUGGGUGAAUCCAUUCAUCGAUAGUGUGGUU
rfam:Oryza meridionalis cultivar OR44 (W2112) chromosome 4, whole genome shotgun sequence.